rnacentral:tRNA from 2 species
GAGGCAUUGGUGUAGUGGCAGCACAGCAGUUUGUGGCACUGCUAGCACCGGUUCAAAUCCGGUAUGCCUCC